rnacentral:lncRNA from 1 species
UCCGAUGUGCAGACCGGGGUAUGCAAUCUUUCUCAUGUACAGAUUGAUCUUUUCCUUCGUGUGCUGGGUGGAUGUGUUCUGUUUUGUUCGUUUCCGGCUGGUAAACCCGGCAUGGAUGCCUGAAAUGACAUGUAAAUUUUACUCCUUGCCGCGUUCAGUUUUGUCUGAAGUGAAACUUAGAAAUAUCGCACAAAGUGUUGCAUGACACUUGGGCAAAUAUAUACGCGAUGAUUGAUUAAAUCGAAUUGUUGAAUGGAUUCAAACAAAUGGCAAGCGAUGAUACAAGUGUUAAUCCCUCUCUCAGGGGGAAGAACAUCAGCGGCAUGCAUCAAUUCGUUAAAUUAAGGAGAAAGAGGGAACAAAGAAAAAGAGGACAAAAGGUGUGUCGAAUCAAAAACAUGCCCACGCAUCGGAAUGCGCGCAGCCAUGUCACUCUCUCUCCCGCUUCGUCUCUUCCUCGGCCUCCGGGCGACCGGCCGCGGCCGGCUCACUGAAUGUAGUAGGCGAAGAAGGAGGCGACGGCGGCCCCGAGGGCGGCGCCGACGGCGGGCGCGACGGCGGAGGAGCCGCUGGUGGGGCCCGGAGCCGGAGCCUCCGCGGCGAGCGCCACGGUGGCCGCCGAGGCGGCGACGAGGACGGCGCAGGCGAUCUUCUUCAUCUCCAUCCCUGA